GGUUGGUCCGAAGGUAGUGGGCAUUCACAAUUGAUUGCUACAGUCAGUUACAGAAAUCCUCGUUUCUUCUCUCCCCUCGUUCACUACUGGCUUUGACCGACCUUUU
ensembl:misc_RNA Y_RNA Y RNA